rnacentral:rRNA from 1 species
CCCUUAGAUGUCCUGGGCCGCACGCGCGUUACACUGAUGCAUUCAACGAGCUUAUAACCUUGGCCGAGAGGCCUGGGCAAUCUUGUUAACGUGCAUCGUGAUAGGGAUAGAUUAUUGAAAUUAUUAAUCUUGAACGAGGAAUUCCUAGUAAACGCAGAUCAUCAAUCUGCAUUGAUUACGUCCCUGCCCUUUGUACACACCGCCCGUCGCACCUACCGAUUGGAUGGUCCGGUGAAGCCUCGGGAUUGUGGCCAGUGCCUUUUUGGUUUUGGUUGCGAGAACUUGUCUAAACCUUAUCAUCUAGAGGAAGGUGAAGUCGUAACA